GACUGUUUAAUUAAAACAAAGCUUUGCGAUGGCCGUCAGCCGGUGUUGACGCAAUGUGAUUUCUGCCCAGUGCUCUGAAUGUCAAAGUGAAGAUAUUUAACCAAGCGUGGGUAAACGGCGGGAGUAACUAUGACUCUCUUAAUUCUAUUUGAAUAAGGUACCCUGUUAGUAAAUUGCUAAACGCCGGCAAC
rnacentral:ncRNA from 1 species